rnacentral:misc_RNA from 1 species
GAUGAAGAACGUAGCGAAAUGCGAUAAUUAAUGUGAAUUGCAGAAUUUAGUGAAUCAUCGAAUCUUUGAACGCACAUUGCGCCCCCUGGUAUUCCGGGGGGCAUGCCUGUCCGAGCGUCAUUGCUGCCCUCAAGCACGGCUUGUGUGUUGGGCCUCCGUCCUCCUCCCGGGGGACGGGCCCGAAAGGCAGCGGCGGCACCGCGUCCGGUCCUCGAGCGUAUGGGGCUUCGUCACCCGCUCUUGUAGGCCCGGCCGGCGCUUGCCGACACAUCAAUCUUUUUUCCAGGUUGACCUCGGAUCAGGUAGGGAUACCCGCUGAACUUAAGCAUAUCAAUAAGCGGAGGA